rnacentral:lncRNA from 1 species
GUGAGUGUGUUCUGUUCGCUUGAGAGUCCCCUUGUCUCAGGCCCCCGAUUCUCCUUUUAUAGCGCAAGGGAGCCAUCGGGGUUACAGGUGAGACCGGGUGUCAGGGGGAGUAAGAGAGACAAACAAGGGGGAGUCCAGCUAAAUUUUAUGAUCAGAAGUGUUAGGAAAUCAAUACCAGAAGAAAUCUAAGGGUGUGUUUGGUUACAGGGAUGGAAUGGGAUGGGAUGGGACGAUCCCAUUUGUACCAAUGUUUGGUUGGAAGACACGCGGGAUGAGUUCGUCCCUCGUAGGGAAUAUUCUGCCCAGAUGCGGGAUGACCUCGUCCGCCCAAAUCGAGCAGAUGGGCUUAUCCCCGAUCGACGCUGUCGUCAUCCAUCUAACGCGCAUGAGUGUGUGACGCGCAUGAGGAGCAGGAGAGUCGCCAGCUAGGGAGCUCGACCUAGGGGAGGGGCGGAUAGCGCUGGCGAGCCCGCGGUCACGACGGCCGGUCGGGGAGCCCGACCCGGGGGGGACCACCGCCAAGCCGGUGGGCUGCGACCAUAGCCUCCACGUGCGGGAGCUCGAUCC